CCCAAGCAUGACCCCAAGCUCCUCCUCUUCAAAUGUCACGGUGGCAAGGCUGGUGCCUCUAAAAAGGGCAUCUUGACAAAGGAAGAGAAAGAUUGCAUAAUGUUUUAUGUGGUUACGAACAUGCAAGAAGUGCUCAAAUUCAUAAGCCAAUACAAGGAUGAAUAUUGGACGAGAUCGACGGAUCCCUCUGAUGCGGAGAUGGAGAUUCUUUUGAAAGAGAGUCGUCCCGGAAAGAAAAAAUUCCUGGAUUGGUUCUACGAAAAAGGAGGUGAUCCCAACGUUGAGAUGACGGAUGAGCUGAGAUGUGUUUCCCAGGGUUGCAACCGUAGAAUCUCAAUGUAUGAGAAGUACGAUGUGAAUGGGUAUCGCUUCCAUACAGAGUAUCACCAGAAGAAUCGGCCUAAC